AUCCACAUGGUGCAAUGUAAUUUAACAUGUAAAUAGCACAAAUGAGGAUGCAGUAGACAUGUGUUUAAUUAGAACGGCUAGAGGUGGAGGACCAUCAACACUGUUUCAAUUAACAGCCGAAGAAGAAUGCGCUGCAGUCAAUAUUCCACGGGGGAGCAUUGCAGGACUGGGAGGCAUUGAUGGUGUAACCCUAUCGCACGUGUCAGCAUCUGAACAUCUUGGAAGCCCAACGGGAGCAGACGAUUCUCAAAAUGGGCCAGACCAACAAGGUCCAAUUAUGCAAGAUGAAGAGCAUGAUUCCUUAGGUUCUCAUUUAUCAGCUGCGUCCUCCAGAUUGUGAUCGUCCACCUAUAGAGGAAAAGAACAAUGAGGGAAGAGCAUCGCUGCUGCAGCAAGAGAAGGAGAAACCUGCUCCCAAAUGUAUUGAAGUGCAAGAAAGAGCAUUUGCUGGAGUGAAUAAGAAUGUACCAAAUCUAAAUGAGACACUGAAUAGAAUGUGCUUGUAUAUGGAAAGUUCCAUAAAACUUAUGGGGGGGAAAAGUUUAAAGUUGAGAGAGGUUAGAUCUGGAGAGAGCAUAUUAUGCAUCAUUCUUCAAGGCCACCAGGCACACACAUAACUGCAGAAACUUCCCGAUGCUAUCCUGUUUACUUUGCAUGCUUCUGCUACUUGUGCCCAAGAUCAGAAUGAAGCUGAGGCCUCAUUACUGCCAAGAAGAGCAGGGCGACCAAGAAAAUGCUGAGCGGCAUUAUAACAAAUGUGCAAUAUAUCUGCUUCAAUAUUUGUAUGUUUGAUUUUGUGUUUUUUUUUCACAUUUAAUGUACAUGAGCAUACACUUGCCCUGAUUUUCAAUCGUUAAGCAUUAUUCAUUUUCAGUA